rnacentral:pre_miRNA from 1 species
UGGGAGACCCUGGUCUGCACUCUAUCUGUAUUCUUAUUGAAGGGAGCGCAGGGCAGGGUUUCCCA